CUAAAAUGCCCAUUUAACUUAAAAUUGGUAAUGUCAUCUCACGCUUCCCACCCAAAACCCCUCCCCCUUUGCUCCAACAACCCUAACCCUCUCUCAAUCUCCAGCCGCCAUCACCACCAUCAGAAUCCUAAGGCUUUUUUUUAAUGUUUUUAAUCAUCACCAUCAUCCCCGACACACGUUGCCAUUGUCGCCUCAGUCGCCAUCACGUACACCACCACCACCACAACCACCACACAUCAACCCUCUACAUUAGAGAUACGGCCGAUCAUUUCCAAUGGAUGAAAAACUGAAUGCAAUGUUGCAGAUCAUGAGGGUGAUAAAGGCUCAAAAACAUGUAGUUUCCGGUACUAUGCAUCAUCUUAGUCUGGAAGUUAUCCAUGCGCAAUUGGCACAUUGUCGGUUUUAAGCAAUACACUCAGGAGUAUAAAGCUCAGGUUUGAUCACAAGUUAUGUGUUUAUGGCAGCUUUUGUUUAUAGGCUUUUUUGUAUAGGAAUUGAAUAUGUGUGGAUGUAAGUGCAAUAAAAUGAGUUCAUUCAGCUAAGACGGGAGGCACGAUUAAAAGGUGGUUUUUAUGUGAUUUCUGAAGCUUCAUCAUCUAGCACUUAUAACCAUUUUAAAUGUAUUUGAAUAGGUAUAUUCGUUAAGAACUCAGAAUUAUUUUAUACAUUUAAUGGAGAGGUAAUUGGUUUACUUUUCGUUUCCAUUUACAUACACACAAAGGUCUGAAAAGACCAGCCCCCUUUGCUACUGUUGUAGGAAGCCGGUUUCCAUUAUCAUGGUGGCAAACUUGAUGAUAUAACGGUUGUUGUUUCCGUUAUCAUGAUGGCAAACUUGAUGAUAUAACGGUUGUCAUUUCAUUUAACAGAUGGGGCUUAAAGCCCGUCGACCUCCAUGCCGCCGGGAUGCCGUUUUGUUUGCGCCGGUGUUUCUUCAGCGGGCUAGGCAUGCCGCCGAGAUGCUGAUGACCACUCCUCUCCCCCUAACAACCGAAUGCCAACGAAGAUCAGUCCAACUUGUCAGAGACACUCCCGGUUUU